rnacentral:rRNA from 1 species
AGCAGAGUGAGUCGGCCCCUAAGGCGAGGCCGAAAGGCGUAGUCGAUGGGAAACGGGUCAAUAUUCCCGUACCGGACAUGAUUGCGAUGGGGGGACGGAGAAGGCUAGGUGAGCCAGGCGUUGGUAGUCCUGGUGAAAGCCGGUAGGCUGAGAUCUCAGGUAAAUCCGGGAUUUUAAGGCCGAGAGGCGAAACGAACUGACCACGGUCAGGAAGUCACUGAUGCCACGCUUCCAGGAAAAGCCUCUAAGCUUCAGAUCAUGUGCGACCGUACCCCAAACCGACACAGGUGGUCAGGGUGAGAAUCCCCAGGCGCUUGAGAGAACUCGGGUGAAGGAACUAGGCAAAAUGGUGCCGUAACUUCGGGAGAAGGCACGCCGC